rnacentral:rRNA from 1 species
UGCCCUAGUAACGGCGAGUGAAGCGGCAACAGCUCAAAUUUGAAAUCUGGCCCCAGGCCCGAGUUGUAAUUUGCAGAGGAUGCUUUUGGUGAGGCGCUUACCGAGUCCCCUGGAAUGGGGCGCCACAGAGGGUGAGAGCCCCGUAUGGUUUGCCGCCGAGCCUCUGUAAAGCUCCUUCGACGAGUCGAGUAGUUUGGGAAUGCUGCUCUAAAUGGGAGGUAAAUUUCUUCUAAAGCUAAAUACCGGCCAGAGACCGAUAGCGCACAAGUAGAGUGAUCGAAAGAUGAAAAGCACUUUGAAAAGAGGGUUAAAUAGCACGUGAAAUUGUUGAAAGGGAAGCGCUCGUGACCAGACUUGCGCCGGGCGGAUCAAUUCAGCCUUCGGGCUGGGUGCGCUCUGCCCGGCUCAGGCCAGCAUCGGUUUUCGCCGGGGGAUAAAAGCUUCGGGAACGUAGCUCCCUACGGGGAGUGUUAUAGCCCGUUGCAUAAUACCCCGGCGGGGACCGAGGACCGCGCUUCGGCAAGGAUGCUGGCGUAAUGGUCAUCAGCGACCCGUCUUGAAACACGGACCGAGGAGUCAAGCAUUAGUGCGAGUGUUUGGGUGUAAAACCCGCACGCGUAAUGAAAGUGAACGUAGGUGAGAGCUUCGGCGCAUCAUCGACCGAUCCUGAUGUUUUCGGAUGGAUUUGAGUAGGAGCAUUAACGCUUGGACCCGAAAGAUGGUGAACUAUACUUGAAUAGGGUGAAGCCA